ACAUCAUUAUUUGAUUGUUCAAGAACAUUAUAAGAUUCAGAUUGGAGAUUGUUAUCUCUGUCAUGUGGAGUGACCUGCAAUAAAAUUAUUGUAAUAGCAUAUCAGUGUUCAUUAAUUUCAUCUUUGCACAAAUAUAACUGCUUUUGAUAUGCUAACUUGAUAAUUUUCUGUAGGAGAAUCCACUUCAUUUCUGCAAAUCUCUCCAGGAAACUUUUUGGCAAGGAAUGCAGCAAUCAUAGCCAUCUGACCUCUGACAUCCCCUACAUCACCUUUGACUUCCUUUACAUCACCUUUGAC
rnacentral:lncRNA from 1 species